rnacentral:rRNA from 1 species
UGAAACACGGACCAAGGAGUCUAACAUGUGCGCGAGUCAUUGGGUGUCAAACCUAAAGGCGGAAUGAAAGUGAAGAUCGGCUUGACCGGUUGAUAUGGGAUCCGUUCGGUCACGGCCGAGCGGCGCACCAUAGCCCCGUCUCGACUGCUUGCAGUGGGGCGGAGGCAGAGCGUACACGUUGGGACCCGAAAGAUGGUGAACUAUGCCUGAGCAGGACGAAGCCAGAGGAAACUCUGGUGGAGGUCCGAAGCGGUUCUGACGUGCAAAUCGAUCGUCAGACUUGGGUAUAGGGGCGAAAGACUAAUCGAACCAUCUAGUAGCUGGUUCCCUCCGAAGUUUCCCCCAGGAUAGCUGGAGCUCUUUAGAGCAGUUGUAUCCGGUAAAGCGAAUGAUUAGAGGCCUUGGGGACGAAACGACGCUCAACCUAUUCUCAAACUUUCAAUGGGUACGAAGUCCCGGUUGCUUGACUCGAACCGACGGACAGUGAAUGUGAGCUCCAAGUGGGCCAUUUUUGGUAAGCA